rnacentral:rRNA from 1 species
UACGGAGGAUCCGAGCGUUAUCCGGAUUUAUUGGGUUUAAAGGGUGCGUAGGCGGACCUGUAAGUCAGUGGUGAAAGUUUGCGGCUCAACCGUAAAAUUGCCAUUGAAACUACCGGUCUUGAGUGUAAAUGAGGUAGGCGGAAUGUGUUGUGUAGCGGUGAAAUGCUUAGAUAUAACACAGAACACCAAUUGCGAAGGCAGCUUACUAGGAUACAACUGACGCUGAGGCACGAAAGCGUGGGGAUCAAACAGG